UGACCAGAAGUGGCGAUUAUGAACGUCAAACACGUGCGUAGUGGCCUGUUGUGUUGGCUAACCCCUAACACAACAAGAAAGGUUGGCAGAAUACGAUUUAUUCUGCUCUACAAUGAAAAUGAAAUGCCUUGCGACUAAUAGACCCGUGUAUGAGUAACCUGUUUUUUGACUUUUUUUUUUAUAUAAAACUCCGACGUGUGGAUACGUAAAGAAAGUUGGUUCACCAGCUGACCUCUAUCAAGACACCCAUGUCGACUGGAUUCCCCCUGUGAAGAUGAGCGAUGCUGCAGCAGCAUCAGUUUCUUCUACUACUUUGUUCUUUUCCUGAUAUGAAAGGAGACUUCCCUCAGUAUUAUAAGAUGGUUGUCAUAUGCUGUGCUUUGGUCAAUCUGAAUGAUUCUGUUGUGCCAUUUGUGCAGAGAGCACCUUCACCUUGUCGUCAUUACAAAAUAAACUGUAUGAAUAUAUAAAAUGUAUUUUGGAACAACAAUGUAAAAUGCUAUUGUUUAUGAUAUUGUAAACAUACUGUACUUUAAUAAUAUGCUAUAUUGUUGUAUGGGUGAAAUGAAAAGUAUUUUGUCAUUUCUGCUUUGCCUUGCUCCAUUAAAUAAAAUGUAUUUCUAA